rnacentral:rRNA from 1 species
GGGAAUCUUGCACAAUGGGGGCAACCCUGAUCCAGCCAUCCCGCGUGUGCGAUGAAGGCCUUCGGGUUGUAAAGCACUUUUGGCAGGGAAGAAACAGCCUGGGCCAAUAUCCCGGGCGACUGACGGUACCUGCAGAAUAAGCACCGGCUAACUACGUGCCAGCAGCCGCGGUAAUACGUAGGGUGCAAGCGUUAAUCGGAAUUACUGGGCGUAAAGCGUGCGCAGGCGGUUCGGAAAGAAAGGUGUGAAAUCCCAGGGCUUAACCUUGGAACUGCACUUUUAACUACCGGGCUAGAGUACGUCAGAGGGGGGUAGAAUUCCACGUGUAGCAGUGAAAUGCGUAGAGAUGUGGAGGAAUACCGAUGGCGAAGGCAGCCCCCUGGGAUGAUACUGACGCUCAUGCACGAAAGCGUGGGGAGCAAACA